UACGUAGGGACCAAGCGUUGUUCGGAUUUACUGGGCGUAAAGGGCGCGUAGGCGGCAAUUCAAGUCAUCUGUGAAAUCUCCGGGCUUAACCCGGAACGGUCAGGUGAUACUGUUUUGCUAGAGUGCGGAAGGGGCAAUCGGAAUUCUCGGUGUAGCGGUGAAAUGCGUAGAUAUCGGGAGGAACACCUGUGGCGAAAGCGGCUCACUGGACCAUAACUGACGCUGAUGCACGAAAGCGUGGGGAGCAAACAGG
rnacentral:rRNA from 1 species